UCCGGGUUGUCCCCGGCAGUCCCCCCAGAGUUCCCAUCUUACUGCUGGCUACUGGGGGUAAGGGUUGCGCUCGUUGCGGGACUUAACCCAACAUCUCACGACACGAGCUGACGACAACCAUGCACCACCUGUCUCCAAUGUCCCCGAAGGGCCUGCCCGCAUUGCCGGGCAUUCAUUGGGAUGUCAAGCCUGGGUAAGGUUCUUCGCGUUGCGUCGAAUUAAACCACAUGCUCCACCGCUUGUGCGGGUCCCCGUCAAUUCCUUUGAGUUUCAUUCUUGCGAACGUACUCCCCAGGUGGAUUACUUAUUGCGUUUGCGCCGGCACCGGGGGCACAUUGCCCCCGACACCUGGUAAUCAUCGUUUACCGCGUGGACUAC
rnacentral:misc_RNA from 1 species